AGAGAAUCAGGUUAGUGGGCCUGGAUUUUAGUUCUGAACUUGUACUAGUUCAUGCAUUUCUAAAACUGUACUUAAAGAAACACAUGCAUGCCCAGGCCCACCCUUAGCCAUUUUUAUAUAGUCAGACUUGAGUGAAGCAAAAAUACCUGUGAUUUUCACAAAGUGUUUCUGAAGCACAGCUCUGCUCAGAGCCCUUGCUUUACAGGUUCCAAUAGUGUCAAAUCUAUGUCACUUAGCCUGAAUCCUCUGGAAAGCCGAGCCUGAAGCAAUGAUUAUGAUUCUAAUAGUUUAUUUUCCAGAUACAAUCACAUCACAGGAUGUUGAGCCUCCUCACCCCAUGUGGAGGUGAGGCUUUCCUCAGGUGGUCCCCUGCCAAAGUGGGGAAGUCAGCUGGAUUCCUUAUCCUACUCAGAGUGGCUUUUAACAGAUUAAACACCGAAUCUGUGAGCUGAUCUUUAGGAGCUGUGAAAGUUGGUGAGAUCGGGAAGGGAAUGGUAAGAGAGGAGACCCCAUCCAACCCUUCAACAAUAUGAGAGAGAUGAAGACAAUCUCCAAGAACUGAGGGAGUGACAGCAGCAUUAAGAAGAGCCCACUGCAUUCCUGAAGUCUGUACCGUGGCAGAAAGAAGGAUGAACACUGGAAAUGAACCUGAGCUUGAGACAGGCCAGCAUGAACAAUAGAAAGCCUGCAUGAUUCUGGCAUCUCAUUUCCGUGGGUCGGCUUCCCUAGGAUGUUCCUGCUUUUCUCAGAUGCUUCCCUUCUUCAAUAAGAUGUCCAAGAUUUUCACAGUGGCUCUCUUUUGACUUGACAAGAUGUUGGUACUGAAGAAACCGAAGUCUCAGUUCUUCACAUGUAGUGAGUCAGGAUGCAUAGUGUUUACGAGCAGGGGAGACUUCUUUGAGCCUUAGUUUUUUGUCUAUAAAGGGUAAAUACUAUCUCCCUAAUAAUGUCUACCAGAAAUCAAAUUUAAUAAUUCAUGACAGACACUUUGCACCUUAGCUGCUCCUCCUUGUAUUGCUGUUUAUCUACUCUACCACAUUUCUUGUAUUCUUAGUUGGUUUGUAAUAUUGUUAAAUACCAAGACCAUGUCUUAAAUCUCCUGUAGCUCUAGUGUCUAGUUCUAAGCACUGUAGAUACUGGGACUCAGUAAAUCUCUUUUUAUGAAUGUUGUGUGCCCUUGCCUGGUGAAAAAUAAUAGCUUAAAACUUAUAAGAGAACUUACUAUAUGCUACGUCUUAAGUGAUUUACUUAGAUCAAAUCAGGUACUUUUAAAACUCUAAACGAAAUUGAUCAUUGCCAUUUUACAGACAAGGAAACAAAGACCCAGAGUUGAAGUAGUUUCACCAUGUUGUCCAACCAGGAUUUGAACACAGGCAGUUUGGCUCUAGAGACCACUCCUUUUAUCACAAUGCUCUAUUGAGAAACACUUGGGAUCCCUCACUAGAUCAAUCACUUCCCUCAUUUAGGGAAAGAAGAGAAAAUAUUCAUGUCUGUACAAAAUGGGCAAGUGGCGACCACUACUUCUGAGACUGAGGUGAUUUUUGUAUGUGUUUUAUGCCCAGUACAAGAGCAUGUUCUUCCUUUUCCAGGAAAGUAUGAGAAGUAAUCUCAGAGUGCAGAGAACAACUUCAGGAGCAAGAGUGUAGGUCAGAUGCUGCUGCUCUAGCAGUUAACUCUUGUUCAAGAAUGCUCUUUUUGCUUCACUGAGAAAGUUCCAUGAAGAAACAUCCUGGCUCUAUACAACUAAACAGUAAUAACAAUUACAGCAGUAACGUAAUCAUACUGAAAACGUGGAUCCACCUGUAUGUCAUCACUGUUCAACUAAUGUGUUUUUUAAUGGAGGGAGCUUACUGACGUCAUAUACACAUGAAGAUUUAUUUGAAAUGAUGAAUUUUCCCCAGAAGGCACUUCAACUAUGCUGGGCAGAAAGUGGUGCCGUAAUGCAAAUACCAUAGGCCAUAGGGACAGACAGACUUGUGUUUAAGCCUAGCUAUACUAUAUAGUCACUACAUGAAUUUGGUCAAGUUGCUUAACUUCACUUAGCCAUAGCAGAUAAUAAUGAAAGACUCAGAGGGUUAUUAUGAAGGUCACAGUUUGAAUUCCAAAUGGUGUAUAAGAAAAACAAGAAUUAUUCAGCUGCCCCAAAGUGAGCUCUGUUUGCUUUAGCAGUAUGGCUAUCCCUGGUUACCCAGAUUCAGCAGACAAUUACACAAUUACAUAUUUCCUUUUGGCUUCACAAACCUGAGCUUAGAUUUCUUUCAGGUUCUUAGAAAAUUCAAAUAGCAACAAUAAUUCCUUGUCUUGGGUACUGAAACAUAGCACCUUAGCUCCGGGUGCUAAGAAAUCCACUCACAUGCUAUUCUGUGAAUCAUCAUAAUUAUAUUAAGCAGAAUAGAAAAAUAUGAUUAUGUUGAGUCAGUGGCUUCGUAAGAAGUUGUGGGUUCUAUGCACAUGCUAUUCUAUUAAUCAUCAUGAUUAUCUUAUAUGAAGCAGAAUAGAAAAAUAUGAUUAUGUUGAGUCAAUGGCUUAAUAAGUUGUUGGGUUCUAAUGUUAAUCUGAAAUAUGCCCCAUGUAUCCUACAUGCUGACGUAAAUGUUAGAUGAAUGGAUUAAUAUGUAAUCAAUGAAGUUACAGCAGUUGUUUGGCUUCUCAGUAUUGAUGUGUUCCACACAGCUGUGUGACCAACCAUCCUAGUUUCCUGAGAACUAGGACUUUCAGUGCUAAGAUCAGGAACGUCUUUCACACACUGAGGCAAGUUAGUUACCCUACACACAGAGGUAAGUGGGAUCUGUAUUAAAAUCAGUUAUACAAAUUUAUCUUCUGUUCAUUAAACUAUUAGAAUUUAAAAUAAACAUCUUUAUUAAGUUGCUCCUAAAUGAAGUGACUGCAUUUUAUUUUCAAAUUAAAUUCUUAAGACUUUAUAUUAUACGGACCUUUAUAUCAAGGUAGAUAUAAAUUAACUCUCAAUUCACAUUGAGAGUCAGAAUAGAUGCAUCUUUUAUUAAAAUUACCUAAAGAGAAAAUUGUAGCUUUGAAUGGUUCAAUACCUAAUCAGAAGAUAUUUUUUCAGAUUUUAUAAUUGGAUUUCUUUCCAGAUUUGUCUGCAUCCUGAAAAUGGCCACCUUUGCACAUUAGUCUAUAAUAUUAUAUUAAUGUAUGAUUUUCAGCUGGAGUCCCUUUCUGGAAGAUUUUGAGCCAAAUCUAAAUUUUAGAGAAAUUUUAGAAAAACCCAUGUAAAAAAAGAUAUACCUUUCAUAAAACUUCCAUAAUUAUCAAAAUUAAGAAAAAUUAGAAAAUCUCAGAAAGACAAUGAGAUUCCCAGCACAAAAGUCAUUUUUUUCCCCCAGGAGUGAAUGGGUAGUAUAAUCCUCAUUUUGUGAUAAAAGUGCACAAAGAAUCAAGGAUUGGUGCAAAAUCACUUUUUUUUUUUCAAGUGGGUCUUUGAAGCUUCUAGUGUGCCUCUGCUACUCUUGGCAAAUUCAGUUCCAAAUUAUCAUCUCCUAAGCUUCAUCAUAGUACUUCUCUCUUCUGCUUACCCAAAGGAAAAUUGUUUCUCAGGAGACAGCUCAAUAUUAGUUUACAUUGCUAUGUAAUAAUGUAGAACUUAAAUAACUAUCCAUAUGCCAGACAAUGACGAAUGUCUUGGUCUAAGAAACAACCUUCUAAGGUGCAAUUCCAGAUACUAGGAAUUCCAAGCAGUAGGAGUGAGAUGAUGAACUUCACUGUUGUUAAGUUAUUCCAUAGGAUAAUCAUUUUCCUGAGUUAAAAUCUAAGAGACAUUGCUUGAUCAUGACUAAAGAUCUAUGUCUGAGGCCAGGUAUAACUUGUGACUGUUUAUCAACUACUUAUUAACUUUACUUUCUUAAGUUUGAUUUGCAGGGCUGGGCAUGGUGGCUCACACCUCUAAUCCCAGCAGUUUUGGAAGUCUGAGAUGGGCAGAUCACCUGAGGUCAGGAGUUUGAAAUCGGCUUGACCAACAUAGUGAAACCCUAUCUCUACAAAAAAUACAAAAAUUAGUCGAGUGUGGUGGAGGGAGCCUGUAGUCCCAGCUACUCAGGAGGCUGAGGCAAGAGAAUCACUUGAACCUGGGAGGCAGAGGUUGCAGUAAGCCAUGAUGAAUUAAGCCACUGCACUCUAGCCUGAGCAACAGAGCAAGACUCUGUCUCAAAAUAAAUAAAUAAAUAAAUAAAAGUAAAUUAAAAAAUAAAAAGCUUUGAUUUGCAAGUAUAUGAAAUACAUUGCCACCUUGGAUUCCUAGGGACCAGACUAAUUUUUACACUUAAUUUUUCUAGGUUGACUAAAAAUGCACAUAUCCAUGGCUGAGACAAGAAUCUGUAACUGACAAAGCAGAGAAUAAUAGCACCCGGGAAUGUGUUGGUGGGAAGUUUUAGUUCUUACAUGUUGCCAUAAACCCCCAGGAGCUGUGUUGCAGCCCCUGCUUUUUCCCUGUGCAUAGAAGCACAGCUGUGUCUAGAUAACAGAUAGAAAUCUCUUGUUUUUGGGAAGGUAAGCCCCUCAGUCAUCUCUAUGGCAUAAUUCCUGAUCAAGCUGGGCCAGUCAUGGCAAUUCUAGCCCACUUUGCUUCUGAUUGGCCUACAGGUGGAUAUGACCCAGUUCUGGUCAAUGAGACGUAAAAAGGAAGUAUUACAGGGAUUCUUAGGACAGAUUUUCUCCUCAAUUAAAAAAACAAAAAAGUUAAUGCCUCAAAGAAGGUUCUUUCCUUCCUAAUUGAAUACUAUUGUAUAAGAUUGUGAUAUUUGGUGCUUCGACAGAUACCUUGAGACCAUAAGCUAGCAUACCUAAGGACAAAAAUAUAAUACUUUAAGGCUGAUAGAGCAGAUGAUACUGUUGAAUUUCUCUAUCAAAUAUAGAAAGAUUUGCCCCUUGAUUUCUUAUUUUUUAAGGUGAUUAAAGUCUUUAUUGUCUAACAUCUAGCCAAAUAUUCUGUUACUUGUAGCCAAAAGCAUUCCUAGGUAUAAGUUCAUAAAAAUAAAAUAAUAUUUUAAUAUGACUUAUAGUAUUUUAAAAUAUUAUACAAAAUAUUAAUAAAA
rnacentral:lncRNA from 10 species